UACGUAGGGGGCAAGCGUUGUCCGGAAUCAUUGGGCGUAAAGAGCGUGUAGGCGGCUUGGCAAGUCUGGUGUGAAACCUCGAGGCUUAACCUCGAGCCUGCAUUCGAUACUGGGCGGCUAGAGUCUGGUAGGGGGAUCUGGAAUUCCUGGUGUAGCGGUGGAAUGCGCAGAUAUCAGGAGGAACACCGGUGGCGAAGGCGGGAUCCUGGGCCAGUACUGACGCUGAGGAGCGAAAGCAUGGGGAGCGAACAGG
rnacentral:rRNA from 1 species